AGCGAACGCUGGCGGCAGGCCUAACACAUGCAAGUCGAACGAAUUCUUCGGAGUUAGUGGCGGACGGGUGAGUAACACGUGGGAACGUGCCUUUAGGUUCGGAAUAACUCAGGGAAACUUGUGCUAAUACCGAAUGUGCCCUUCGGGGGAAAGAUUUAUCGCCUUUAGAGCGGCCCGCGUCUGAUUAGCUAGUUGGUGAGGUAAAGGCUCACCAAGGCGACGAUCAGUAGCUGGUCUGAGAGGAUGAUCAGCCACAUUGGGACUGAGACACGGCCCAAACUCCUACGGGAGGCAGCAGUGGGGAAUCUUGCGCAAUGGGCGAAAGCCUGACGCAGCCAUGCCGCGUGAAUGAUGAAGGUCUUAGGAUUGUAAAAUUCUUCCACCGGGGACGAUAAUGACGGUACCCGGAGAAGAAGCCCCGGCUAACUUCGUGCCAGCAGCCGCCGUAA
rnacentral:rRNA from 1 species